UACAGAGGUCUCAAGCGUUUGUUCGGAUUCAUUGGGCGUAAAGGGUGCGUAGGCGGCGCGGUAAGUCGGGUGUGAAAUCUUGGAGCUUAACUCCGAAACUGCAUUCGAUACUGCCGUGCUUUGAGGACUGGAGAGGAGACUGGAAUUUACGGUGUAGCGGUGAAAUGCGUAGAUAUCGUAAGGAAGACCAGUGGCGAAGGCGGGUCUCUGGACAGUUCCUGACGUGAAGCACGAAGGCCCAGGGGGAGCAAAACGGGG
rnacentral:rRNA from 1 species